rnacentral:rRNA from 1 species
GAUGAACGCUGGCGGCGUGCUUAACACAUGCAAGUCGAACGAAGCACUUAAGAUUGAUUCUUCGGAUGACGUCUUUUGUGACUUAGUGGCGGACGGGUGAGUAACGCGUGGGUAACCUGCCUCACACAGGGGGAUAACAGUUAGAAAUGACUGCUAAUACCGCAUAACCCGAUAGGAUCGCAUGAUCCAGACGGAAAAGAUUUAUCGGUGUGAGAUGGACCCGCGUCUGAUUAGCUAGUUGGUGAGGUAACGGCCCACCAAGGCGACGAUCAGUAGCCGGCCUGAGAGGGUGAACGGCAACAUUGGGACUGAGACACGGCCCAAACUCCUACGGGAGGCAGCAGUGGGGAAUAUUGCACAAUGGGGGAAACCCUGAUGCAGCGACGCCGCGUGAGUGAAGAAGUAUUUCGGUAUGUAAAGCUCUAUCAGCAGGGAAGAAAAUGACGGUACCUGACGAAGAAGCCCCGGCUAACUACGUG